GAUGAACGCUGGCGGCGUGCCUAAUACAUGCAAGUCGAGCGAACGGACGAGAAGCUUGCUUCUCUGCUGUUAGCGGCGGACGGGCGAGUAACACGUGGAUAACCUACCUAUAAGACUGGGAUAACUUCGGGAAACCGGAGCUAAUACCGGAUCAUAUUUUGUACCGCAUGGUUCAAAAGUGAAAGACGGUCUUGCUGUCACUUAUAGAUGGAUCCGCGCUGCAUUAGCUAGUUGGUAAGGUAACGGCUUACCAAGGCAACGAUGCAUAGCCGACCUGAGAGGGUGAUCGGCCACACUGGAACUGAGACACGGGCCAGACUCCUACGGGAGGCAGCAGUAGGGAAACUUCCGCAAUGGGCGAAAGCCUGACGCAGCAACGCCGCGUGAGUGAAGAAGGUCUUCGGAUCUUAAAACUCUGUUAUUAGGGAAGAACAUAUGUGUAAGUAACUGUGCACAUCUUGACGGUACCUAAUCAGAAAGCCACGGCUAACUACGUG
rnacentral:rRNA from 1 species